rnacentral:lncRNA from 1 species
AUUUCAGCAACAAACGCGUGUAGAAAGCUAAAUCAAGCAGAUCAGAGAAGCAACACAGGAAAAUUUAUUUCAAACACGAACUUGAAGGAACCAAACCAACAUAGUCAUGAAAAGAACAAAUGAGCAGAUUAUCGAGUCGCCAUUCAUUCAACGGUCAUGCAACAAGUUAAAUUCUAGCCGUGAAUUAUCAAAAACCAAACAGGUCUCACUUUCAAGAACAGAUUUGGUUAACCAAUUGAUAGAUAUACGAAUGGUCUCAAAUCUCAUAAACGAAGACACCAAUUCAACUCCUAACAAACAUAUCGGAGCAGAGGUGAAACACUAAGUGUGAUCUUAACAUAGCAGACAUUUCAACCUUCCUAGGAUCAUGUGAUUUAAACUUUGAUAACGGCAGAAUCCAAGCACAACAUGCUAUGCUCGUUUAGAAGACGAGAACAGAACGAUUUAGGCAUCAUGCGCAGGCAUACCACCCUAAGCAGAUAACCAGAAACACUCAUACUAGAGAGUCAGAUAACCAAGCGAAGAACCAUAUGAGCAUACAUUACAAGCAUGAGGCGGAGCAGAACAGAACAAUGAGUGUAAGAUUCGAACAACAAAGGUCAUGUCAAAUAGCAUUUCCAAACGCGAACUAAAACUGAAAGCUAACCUCAAAUUAAACCUCUAAUGGUAUUAGUCAAAGAAUUACUUCUAUAAAUGGAUUUCCAUGGCUCUUAUUGUAUUUUCAAUCAACAUCCAAACAGACAUAACAAAAGAGAAAUAGAUUGAACCUAAUUGCGUGAAGCUUUGAUUGAUUUUGUUUGGACUCCAAUACAAACAAAUCCGACCUUGGAAUUGGGAGUAACAACAGCUGAAACUUCAAACUCCUUUCAAUAACUAUAUACUCGACAAUACACACAUUGAUUCCAAAUCGCAUCGAGGUUCAAUGAAGAAGCAGCAGAGCAACCAUAGAAACAGAGUCGACGAAAUCGAAGCUCAUGAACAGUUAGUAGACCACAAUUCAUUUUCCUUCGAGUUCAAACCCAAGCUCAUCAGUGAAGAAUGAGAAUUUUUUUUUGAAUUUUUUAAAUAUAGAGAACAAUGAAGAGAAUCAGAUUAAACACAAAACCGAAAACAAUUUUUUUAUAUUUUUGUUUAUAGACUAGAACUAAACUAAAAUUCAAUAGAGAAGAAAAAGAAAGACCAUUGUUUUUUAACCCUCUAAUUUCUGCUCAAAAAGUCUUCUCCCUUCGAAAAUAGGAUUAAGUCCUUUUAUGAAAAAACCCCUGAUG